GCGAUGGUAGCAUAGUGGCUAAGGAUCUGGGCUAGCAAGCCUGAUCUGUUGUGGGUUCAAUUCCCGGCUUUCACC
rnacentral:tRNA from 1 species